AGAACAGCAAGAAAAAAUCGCAAAGGACCUCAAAGACCUCAGAAACAAGGUGACGUUUGGCUUCUUCAUCUGCAAUGCUCUUUGGUUGGUGGCCACCCUGUUCCUUCAAACCAUUGGCAGCGCUGUCAGUCUAUUUAUUCCAAAAAUCUAUCCGAAUGGGACUUUGGUUAAGGGAGAAAGAUUUUCCAUUGAUCCAAUAUCACUGAUGUUUCUCCUGAGCUUUGCUUUACUGCUGUUUAUGCAGUUUUUUGCUAUGCUUUACCACAGAAUCUACACAUUAAUCCAUUUUGUGGCCUAUCUUGACACAGAAACUAAGG